rnacentral:sRNA from 1 species
GUGGUUGCUCAAGCAUGCACUAGUCUGGCUGAUAUCAUCAUAGAUUAUGGUUUUGCAACUCUUGAGCCUUACUUGGCACAGCUUGUUGAUGCAACUUUAUUGUUGCUUCGGGAGCAUUCUGCUUGUCAAUAGAGUCAGACAGUGAAAUCGAUGAUGUUGAUAGUGCACAUGAUGAAGUGCUGAUUGAUGGAGUGUCUGAUAUUCUGCCGGCAUUUGCAAAGUCCAUGGGUGUUUUAAAUUAGUACAAUUCAGUU